UACGAGGGGAGCAAGCGUUGUUCGGAUUUACUGGGCGUAAAGGGCGCGUAGGCGGCCACGACAAGUCACUUGUGAAAUCUCCGGGCUUAACUCGGAACGGUCAAGUGAUACUGUCGGGCUAGAGUACAGAAGGGGCAACUGGAAUUCUCGGUGUAGCGGUGAAAUGCGUAGAUAUCGAGAGGAACACCUGCGGCGAAGGCGGGUUGCUGGGCUGAUACUGACGCUGAUGCGCGAAAGCGUGGGGAUCAAACAGG
rnacentral:rRNA from 1 species